CCUGGUUGAUCCUGCCAGUAGUCAUAUGCUUGUCUCAAAGAUUAAGCCAUGCAUGUCUCAGUACAGGCCUUUCUAAGGCGAAACCGCGAAUGGCUCAUUAAAUCAGUCAUGAUUCAUUAGAUUAAGCCAAAAAUUUACUUGGAUAACUGUGGUAAUUCUAGAGCUAAUACAUGCAACUGAGCUCCGACCCGGCCGUCAGGCUGGGGAAGAGCGCUUUUAUUAGAUCAAAAACCAAUCGGACUUCGGUCCGUAUCAAAUGAGUUGUGGUGACUCUGAAUAACUUUAGCCGAGCGCAACGGGCUUAGUCCCGGCGCCGUAUCUUUCAAGUGUCUGCCUUAUCAGCUUUCGAUUGUAGGUUAUACGCCUACAAUGGCUGUAACGGGUAACGGGGAAUCAGGGUUCGAUUCCGGAGAGGGAGCCUGAGAAACGGCUACCACAUCUAAGGAAGGCAGCAGGCACGCAAAUUACCCACUCCCAGCUCGGGGAGGUAGUGACGAAAAAUAACGAUGCGGGACUCUUCCGAGGCCUCGCAAUCGGAAUGAGUUCACUUUAAAUCCUUGGACGAGGAUCCACUAGAGGGCAAGUCUGGUGCCAGCAGCCGCGGUAAUUCCAGCUCUAGUAGCGUAUAUUAAAAUUGCUGCGGUUAAAAAGCUCGUAGUUGGAUCUCUGAUUUGGACCGGCGGCCCACUCAAGGAUAGCCCUCGCUGACAAUGGGAGGCGCUUUACGUUCGCUUCGGCGCCUCGGACGGGCGCGGCCGCCCUCAUCGAGGUAGUGGUCGCGUUCCGCACGGGGGUCUAACGCAGUCGCGACGUGGGCUCUCUUACAGGCGGGUAAGCGAUCCCGGUGGUUCACUGUCCGGCUCCGGAUUGAAAAUGCCGUCGGCUCGCACGGGGUGCUCUUCACCGAGUGUCCCGCGUGGCCGACAAGUUCACUUUGAAAAAAUUAGAGUGCUCAAAGCAGGCAAUAACUCACGCCUGAAUGGUGUUGCAUGGAAUGAUAGAACAGGACCUCGGUUCUGUCCUUUUUAUUGGUUUUCUGAACCCGAGGUAAUGAUUAACGGGAACAGACGGGGGCAUUAGUAUUGCGACGCUAGAGGUGAAAUUCUUGGACCGUCGCAAGACUAACUACUGCGAAAGCAUUUGCCAAGAAUGUUUUCAUUAAUCAAGAACGAAAGUUAGAGGAUCGAAGGCGAUCAGAUACCGCCCUAGUUCUAACCAUAAACGAUGCUAACUGGCGAUCCGUCGGCGUCAUUCCCACGACUCGACGGGGAGCCCCCGGGAAACCAAAGUCUUUGAGUUCCGGGGGAAGUAUGGUUGCAAAGCUGAAACUUAAAGGAAUUGACGGAAGGGCACCACCAGGAGUGGAGCCUGCGGCUUAAUUUGACAACACGGGGAAACUCACCAGGCCCGGACACCGAAAGGAUUGACAGAUUGAGAGCUCUUUCUUGAUCCGGUGGGUGGUGGUGCAUGGCCGUUCUUAGUUGGUGGAGCGAUCUGUCUGGUUGAUUCCGAUAACGAACGAGACUCUACCCUGCUAACUAGUCGUCGGAUCGUCUCCCGCGGGGGACCUUCCCGAGGUUAACUCCUCCCCGUGGCUCCCGUUCUUAGUUGGUGGAGCGAU
rnacentral:rRNA from 1 species